rnacentral:rRNA from 1 species
UACGGAGGAUCCGAGCGUUAUCCGGAUUCAUUGGGUUUAAAGGGUGCGUAGGUUGUUUUAUAAGUUAGCGGUGAAAUACCGAUGCUCAACAUCGGGGCUGCCGCUGAUACUGUAGGACUAGAGAUCGGAUGCAGCAGGCGGAAUGUGUAGUGUAGCGGUGAAAUGCAUAGAUAUUACACAGAACACCGAUUGCGAAGGCAGCCUUCCGGCGCCCUACUGACGCUGAGGCACGAAAGUGCGGGGAUCGAACAGG